rnacentral:rRNA from 1 species
AGAGUUUGAUCAUGGCUCAGGACGAACGCUGGCGGCGUGCCUAAUACAUGCAAGUCGAGCGAGGGUUUUCGAACCCUAGCGGCGGACGGGUGAGUAACACGUAGGCAACCUGCCUCUCAGACCGGGAUAACAUAGGGAAACUUAUGCUAAUACCGGAUAGGUUUUUGGAUCGCAUGAUCUGAAAAGGAAAGAUGGCGUUUGCUAUCACUGGGAGAUGGGCCUGCGGCGCAUUAGCUAGUUGGUGGGGUAACGGCCUACCAAGGCGAUGAUGCGUAGCCGACCUGAGAGGGUGACCGGCCACACUGGGACUGAGACACGGCCCAGACUCCUACGGGAGGCAGCAGUAGGGUAUUUUCCACAAUGGACGAAAGUCUGAUGGAGCAACGCCGCGUGAACGAUGAAGGUCUUCGGUAUUGUAAAGUUCUGUUGUCAGGGACGAAUAAGUACCGUU